rnacentral:rRNA from 1 species
GUAGUCUGCAACUCGACUACAUGAAGCUGGAAUCGCUAGUAAUCGCAAAUCAGAAUGUUGCGGUGAAUACGUUCCCGGGUCUUGUACACACCGCCCGUCACACCAUGGGAGUCGGAAAUGCCCGAAGUCUGUGACCCAACGAAAGAGGGAGCAGCCGAAGGCAGGUCUGAUAACUGGGGUGAAGUCGUAACAAGGUAUC